GACGAACGCUGGCGGCGUGCCUAAUACAUGCAAGUCGAGCGAAUUGACAGGAGCUUGCUCCUGUUGGUUAGCGGCGGACGGGUGAGUAACACGUGGGCAACCUGCCUGUAAGACUGGGAUAACACCGGGACACCGGUGCUAAUACCGGAUAAUCCUUUCCCUCUCAUGAAGGGAAGCUGAAAGUCGGUUUCGGCUGACACUUACAGAUGGGCCCGCGGCGCAUUACCUAGUUGGUGAGGUAACGGCUCACCAAGGCGACGAUGCGUAGCCGACCUGAGAGGGUGAUCGGCCACACUGGGACUGAGACACGGCCCAGACUCCUACGGGAGGCAGCAGUAGGGAAUCUUCCACAAUGGACGAAAGUCUGAUGGAGCAACGCCGCGUGAGCGAUGAAGGCCUUCGGGUCGUAAAGCUCUGUUGUUAGGGAAGAACAAGUACCGGAGUAACUGCCGGUACCUUGACGGUACCUAACCAGAAAGCCACGGCUAACUACGUGCCAGCCGCCGCUGUAAUAC
rnacentral:rRNA from 1 species